UGGGGAAUUUUCCGCAAUGGGCGAAAGCCUGACGGAGCAAUGCCGCGUGGAGGUGGAAGGCCUACGGGUCGUCAACUUCUUUUCUCGGAGAAGAAACAAUGACGGUAUCUGAGGAAUAAGCAUCGGCUAACUCUGUGACAG
rnacentral:rRNA from 1 species